AUUAAACGCUGGCGGCAUGCCUUACGCAUGCAAGUCGAACGGCAGCACGGGGGCAACCCUGGUGGCGAGUGGCGAACGGGUGAGUAAAGCAUCGGAACGUGCCCUGGAGUGGGGGAUAACGUAGCGAAAGUUACGCUAAUACCGCAUAUUCUGUGAGCAGGAAAGCAGGGGAUCGCAAGACCUUGCGCUCUGGGAGCGGCCGAUGUCGGAUUAGCUAGUUGGUGGGGUAAAGCCUACCAAGGCGACGAUCCGUAGCGGGUCUGAGAGGAUGAUCCGCCACACUGGGACUGAGACACGGCCCAGACUCCUACGGGAGGCAGCAGUGGGGAAUUUUGGACAAUGGGCGAAAGCCUGAUCCAGCCAUGCCGCGUGAGUGAAGAAGGCCUUCGGGUUGUUAAGGAC
rnacentral:rRNA from 1 species